rnacentral:tRNA from 1 species
GGGAUUGUGGCAGACAAGGUAAUGCACCGGUCUCUUAAACCGGCUGAUGUGGGUUCGAUGCCCACCGAUCCCA